rnacentral:rRNA from 1 species
UACGUAGGAAGCAAGCGUUGUCCGGAAUUACUGGGCGUAAAGCGCGUGUAGGCGGUACGACAAGUCUGCUGUGAAAGCGCCCGGCUUAACCGGGCGAGGUCGGUGGAAACUGUCGGACUGGAGGCCGGUAGAGGGGGGUGGAAUUCCCGGUGUAGUGGUGAAAUGCGUAGAGAUCGGGAGGAACACCUGUGGCGAAGGCGGCCCCCUGGGCCGCGCCUGACGCUGAGACGCGAAAGCGCGGGGAGCGAACGGG